GAGUUUGAUAUUGGCUCAGGAUGAACGCUAGCGACAGGCUUAACACAUGCAAGUCGAGGGGCAGCGGGGGCGAAGCUUGCUUCGCCUGCCGGCGACCGGCGCACGGGUGAGUAACACGUAUGCGACCUGCCCCCCGCAGGGGAUAACCGGGAGAAAUCCGACUAAUACCGCGUAACGCCGCUGGGCUGCAUGGCUCGGCGGCCAAAGGAAGCGAUUCCGGCGGGGGAUGGGCAUGCGGCGCAUUAGCUAGUCGGCGGGGUAACGGCCCACCGAGGCGACGAUGCGUAGGGGUUCUGAGAGGAAGGUCCCCCACACUGGUACUGAGACACGGACCAGACUCCUACGGGAGGCAGCAGUGAGGAAUAUUGGUCAAUGGGCGGGAGCCUGAACCAGCCAAGUCGCGUGAGGGAAGACGGUCCUACGGAUUGUAAACUCUUUUGCCGGGAGCAACGGGGUCCUUGCGAGGGUCCUAUGAGAGUACCCGGAGAAAAGCAUCGGCUAACUCCGUGCCAGCCGCCGCAGU
rnacentral:rRNA from 1 species